rnacentral:sRNA from 1 species
AUCACAUAGUUUACUACACACAACAUCAAGAAGAAGAAAAAAAC